UACGGGGGGGGCAAGCGUUGUUCGGAAUUACUGGGCGUAAAGGGCGCGUAGGCGGCCUGCUAAGUCGAACGUGAAAUCCCUCGGCUUAACCGAGGAACUGCCUGUCAGACUGCGAGGCUUGAGACCGGGAGAGGUGAGUGGAAUUCCCAGUGUAGCGGUGAAAUGCGUAGAUAUUGGGAGGAACACCAGUGGCGAAGGCGGCUCACUGGCCCGGUACUGACGCUGAGGUGCGAAAGCGUGGGGAGCAAACAGG
rnacentral:rRNA from 1 species